AGCAGCCGCGGUAAUUCCAGCUCCAAUAGCGUAUAUUAAAGUUGUUGCAGUUAAAAAGCUCGUAGUUGAACUUCGGGGUUUACCCAUUGGUCAGGCUUAAUUGUCUGCACUGGUGAGAUGAAUCUCUACCUUCUGAGGAACUUUCAUGCCAUUUAUUUGGUGUGAUUGGAAAUCAGGACUGUUACUUUGAAAAAAUUAGAGUGUUUAAAGCAGGCUAACGUCUGAAUACAUUAGCAUGGAAUAAUGAAAUAGGACGGACUGAUUCUAUUUCGUUGGUUUCUAGGAUCACCGUAAUGAUUAAUAGGGAUAGUUGGGGGCAUUAGUAUUCAAUUGUCAGAGGUGAAAUUCUUGGAUUUAUUGAAGACUAACUACUGCGAAAGCAUUUGCCAAGGAUGUUUUCAUUAAUCAAGAACGAAAGUUAGGGGAUCGAAGACGAUCAGAUACCGUCGUAGUCUUAACCAUAAACUAUGCCGACUAGGGAUCGGACGAAGUUAAAAAAAUGACGCGCUCGGCACCUCAUG
rnacentral:rRNA from 1 species